rnacentral:rRNA from 1 species
GGGUCAGUAGGUCGGUCGUGCCACCGGUACGUACUGGUCUCACUGAUUCCUCCUUCCUGAAGAACCGUAAUGCCAUUAAUUUGGUGUUGCGGGGAAACAGGACUGUUACUUUGAAAAAAUUAGAGUGUCUAAAGCAAGCUAACGCUUGAAUACAUUAGCAUGGAAUAAUGAAAUAGGACGAUCGAUCCUAUUUUGUUGGUUUCUAGGAUUGACGUA